GGCGGGGUAAUUCAGCCUGGUUAGAAUGUGGCGCUCAUAACGCCAUUGUCGCGAGUUCAAAUCUCGCCCCCGCCA
rnacentral:tRNA from 1 species